rnacentral:rRNA from 1 species
GACGAACGCUGGCGGCGGGCUUAACACAUGCAAGUCGAACGAGUGGCGAACGGGUGAGUAAUACGUGUGUAACCUGCCCUCUUUUUGGGAUAAGCCUCGGAAACGGGGUCCAACACCCGAAUAAGGGGGAUGGGCUCUGGGCCUAUGAGCUUGUUGGGGGGGUGAUGGCCUACCAAGGCGGUGACGGGUAGCGGGGCUGAGAGGGCGAACAGGCACAUUGGCACUGAGAUACGGCCCAGAGUAGGAAGGGAGGGAGCAGUGGGGGAUAUUGGACAAUGGGCGAAAGCCUGAUGCAGCGACGCCGCGGGGGGGAUGAAGGCUUUAGGGUUGUAAAACUCUUUCGCUAUCGAACGGGUAGGCGGAGAAGAAGCGCCGGCUAACUACGUGCCAGCAGCCGCGGUAAUUC